GAUGAAGAACGCAGCGAAAUGCGAUAAGUAAUGUGAAUUGCAGAAUUCAGUGAAUCAUCGAGUCUUUGAACGCACAUUGCGCCCCCUGGUAUUCCGGGGGGCAUGCCUGUCCGAGCGUCAUUGCUGCCCUCAAGCACGGCUUGUGUGUUGGGCCUCCGUCCUCCUCCCGGGGGACGGGCCCGAAAGGCAGCGGCGGCACCGCGUCCGGUCCUCGAGCGUAUGGGGCUUCGUCACCCGCUCUUGUAGGCCCGGCCGGCGCUUGCCGACACAUCAAUCUUUUUUCCAGGUUGACCUCGGAUCAGGUAGGGAUACCCGCUGAACUUAAGCAUAUCAAUAAGCGGAGG
rnacentral:misc_RNA from 1 species